GCAUCCUGAGCAGUAGAGAGAUCAGCAAAGGCCACAAUUUCAUUUCUAAGCCACAGAUAUUAGUUUUGCUCCUCUCCCCUGAUAUAUGCUUUUACUUUCUAUCUCUUAAGAAAUCAUAUCCUCUGAAAUUUUCUCAAUAUUAAUUUCUUCAGCCCCUUCCCAAGGGAGAAAAACCCAAUUCUGUAUUUGCUCCUUAUCUUAGAUACCUUUUCCCUCACCAUCAGUCCUUCCAGUGCAAUACAGAUAAUUCACAGAAGAAUGUGUACAAACUCUGAGAUAGUCAUUUUAGAAUAAUACUAGCAAUGGGUAGUAUGGGUAUACUUCACAUCUAUAGAUAGAUAGAUAGAUAGAUAGAUAGAUAGAUAGAUAGAUAGAUAACAGAUGAAUAUAUAGGAACCCAUAUACAUGAAUUAUAUAUAUUCAUUUACGUAUCUUGUAUGUUUUACACACACAAACACAUGUCCUCUUUGUAUGGGCAUAGAAUACCAAUAUUCUAUAAAUGUCGCUACUAUUAUAGUGAACAGUAGUUAUUUCUGUGAAUGUGGCCUGGGGUUGCAGUGGAGGAAGACUCAUUUUUUUUUUUUUUUUUGGUUUAACAUUUUUACAAGUUUGUAUCUAGUUAGCUAAAACAGGUGCCUACCAGCCUUAAUUUCUCCAGUCUUCCUUGAGACCAAACCCAGAAAGUCCUUCAGCCUCCACGAUGAUUGGUCUAAGUGAAUGAGAGUGUUUGCUGUUGAUGUGCACUUUUCUCUUUGGUCCUCUUUCUCUAGCAUGAUUUUACUGGUUCAGUCAUCACACUCUCCAGUCUGCUCUCAUGAUCUUCCUGCUUUAUUCUCGGAGAACAUUUUGGUAAUUGUCCCAGAGAAACCCUAGUGAGGAUUAUCGUGUUAAAAGUGACAUGCUAAUGUCAUGCUUGUGUGGAUUUCCUUCAGUAAAUGAGCCAGCUCCCUUGUGAAACUGUAAGAACAUGGUACUUAGAGGAGUAAGGCUCAUGAAGUGGAGGGAUGAGAAGACUUUUGGGACAGAUUGUGUGGAGGCUGUCAUUCUCCUCGUGACAUUGCUGUGGGAGAAGAAGGAGGCAUUCCAUGUUGGCUUCAGUGAAGAACUUCAGAAAGCAAAAGAUUCUUCAAAAUCAAACUGUGUCCGGAAUUGGUGGGUUCUUGGUCUCACUGACUUCAAGAAUGAAGCCGCGGACCCUCGCGGUGAGUGUUACAGUUCUUAAGGUGGCGCGUCUGGAGUCUGUCCCUUCUGAUGUUCAGAUGUGUUCAGAGUUUCUUCCUUCUGGUGGGUUCGUGGUCUCACUGGCUCAGGAGUGAAGCUGAAGAUCUUCGCGGUCGCUAGUAACACAAUAAUAAAGCUGCUUUAUUUUCCAGUGAAGAUGUAUGUGAUAGGGAGUGGAGGAAGAAAAAGGCCAGAAAAUUCCAUAGUUAGCAAAUAUACCUUUCUUACUUAAAAUUCUUUUUUCCAAUGUGAGCCUUCUAAAGAGUUACUGAGAAAUUAGGUGAGCUCACCUCAUUUAAUGCAAUAGAUAUGUUUCUGAAAAAUAAGCAAUACAUAGGACAUUGGCCAAUUAAGAAUUUUGAUGAAGAAGAAUUUUCACAUCCGAAAGAGUAAAAAUGAAAAACGGUACAAAUGUAGUGGCUUUUAAAUUUCAAAACAAAUUAUUUUGAUAAGAUAAAUAUUCCUCUCAUAAAGUGAAAAUGGAAGAGACUGCUUGCUGGGUGUUCGUCAAAAUGGAGUUAGAUGGUCUGUCCCAGACUCCCCUGUUGUUAGUUCUGGGAACAGAAGUAAUGGUGCUUCUUCAGGACUGGCUCAUAGAAACCUGCCGUGUUCAGCCCCCACAAUCCUCUCCCUUCUGCUGGCUGGAAACAAAUGACAAUGAAGCCUCACGUCUUGGAGAAACCACACUGCUGAGGAACUCAAGUCCUAGAAGAACCAUUUGAAGGGACCCAUCUCACUAAAGAAAAUCACACAAGCAAGAAGUAAACUUCAUUGUAUCUAUGUAUUUAAUUGUGAUAACAGUCUACCUUAACUGAUAAAGCAAAAAUUCCCUCCUUUUCUGGACACCCAGUUUCAAAAGCUCAGUGUCAUUUUUUACUUCUCUCUUUUCAGGUUGUUUAAUAUAAUAAAAUUUAUGUGUGUGUGUGUGUGUGUGUGUGUGACAAGGUCUUGCUCUGUUGCCCAGGCUGGAGUGCAAUGGCACGAUCCCAGCCCACUACAGCCUUGACCUCCAAGCUCAAGUGUUCCUCCCACCUCAGCCUCCAGAGUAACUGGGACUACAGGCAUGGGCCACCACACCUGGCUAAUUUUUGUACUUUUUGUAGAGACAGGGUUUCACCAUGUUGCCCAGGCUGGUCUUGAACCCCUGGGCUCAAGCGAUCUGCCCAUCUCCACCUCCCAAAACUCUAGGAUUACAGGCGUGAGCCACUACACCCAACCAUUUUAUUUUUAAAAGUUUUCUUUGCAAUAUUGCUCACAUUGUUUCCUUCCUUUUUAUUCUUAUUGUCACUCCCAAGUUCAGGCUUUUACCUCUUUUAUUUGAAGUAUUAAAGUAUACUUCU